UGAGGAAUAUUGGUCAAUGGGCGCAAGCCUGAACCAGCCAUCCCGCGUGCAGGAAGACGGCCCUAUGGGUUGUAAACUGCUUUUCCAGGGAGAGAAACUUACGCACGUGUUGCGUGACUGACGGUACCCUGGGAAUAAGCAUCGGCUAACUCCGUGCCAGCAGCCGCGGUAAUACGGAGGAUGCAAGCGUUAUCCGGAUUCAUUGGGUUUAAAGGGUGCGUAGGCGGGCUAUUAAGUCAGUGGUGAAAUCCUGCAGCUUAACUGCAGAACUGCCGUUGAUACUGAUAGUCUUGAGUUUGGUUAAGGUAGGCGGAAUGUGUAAUGUAGCGGUGAAAUGCUUAGAUAUUACACAGAACACCAAUUGCGUAGGCAGCUUACUGAGCCGACACUGACGCUGAGGCACGAAAGCGUGGGGAUCAAACA
rnacentral:rRNA from 1 species